GUGGAUUAGAUACCCUGGUAGUCCGCACCGUAAACGAUGAUUACUCGUUGUUGGCGAUAUGACAGUCAGCGACCAAGCGAAAGCGAUAAGUAAUCCACCUGGGGAGUACGCCGGCAACGGUGAAACUCAAAGGAAUUGACGGGGGCCCGCACAAGCGGAGGAGCAUGUGGUUUAAUUCGAUGAUACGCGAGGAACCUUACCUGGGCUUGAAAGUUAGUGACCGAUUCUGAAAGGAGUCUUUCCGCAAGGACACGAAACUAGGUGCUGCACGGCUGUCGUCAGCU
rnacentral:rRNA from 1 species